UACGGAGGGUGCGAGCGUUAAUCGGAAUUACUGGGCGUAAAGCGCACGUAGGCGGUCGUGUAAGUCGGAUGUGAAAUCCCCGGGCUUAACCUGGGAAUGGCAUUUGGGACUGCAAGGCUUGAGUGCGGCAGAGGGGACUGGAAUUCCCGGUGUAGCAGUGAAAUGCGUAGAUAUCGGGAGGAAUACCGAUGGCGAAGGCAGGUCUCUGGGCUGACACUGACGCUCAUGCACGAAAGCGUGGGGAGCAAACAGG
rnacentral:rRNA from 1 species